rnacentral:lncRNA from 1 species
CUUGGAAGUAUCAAACCCAAAUUAUUCAUAGUACCAAUACGGUGAAAGACUUUAAUUAUUAAAGCAUCAAAAGCAUGUGAUCUCAUGAGUUAUAACGCGUAGCAUGUACAGCAAUAUCAAGGCAAAUUGGUUACAUGGAAGCAAUACUCGAGCCAAGGUGGCCAAUAAAUGUAACGUACUUUACUGCACCACAAGAGAAAUCAGAACUAAUAAUCAUUUUAUGAGUAUCAAGUCUUCAUUCGAGCUUAACUUGAACAGAAGAAUUGCCAAGAGAGGAAGUUUUUUCAUCAUCCUCAUAGAUGUUCUCAUAUGAAAAUUCGACAGCCAACAAAUGGAAGAUCAUAACCUCAAAUGUUGAAUUCUCAUUAUACACAACAAGAAAUCAAUUAUUUUCGAGCACGUGGUGGUCAAAGAAAUGAUAUCGGGGUAAAGAAAAAUACAAUAAAUUAUUUACCUUUUUGAGAUGGAAUUCCCAAACUAUGCCCUUGUAGUCAAUCACACGUGCUGAUGACUAAGCUAAUGUCUACGCUCAUGAACAAAAGCUCUCAAAAAUGGCUGUCCAACAUGCAUCGUGUUUUAUAAGUUACAAUUAGAUCGUGUAUAUCAACAUAUCCUAUUGAAUUGCCCUUAUUCCAUGCUUUUCAGUUUCACCAAUUUUGACCAUCAUCUCCGUUGAGACCUCCUUUUACCUGCCAAUUAUGGUUAAUCCGUAUUGGAACAACAACCUGAUAGGUUUGAGGAACCUCAAUGGUUGUUCAUGUUCUUUGAUGCUCAACAUUCUUUUACUGUUCUCCUUUUUUUGCUCCAUCAACCGAAACCAAAUUCAACAAAGGGCAAAGGAAACACAAUUUCAGCCCCCCGGGGCACAGCUCAACUGGAGGAUCAAUCAACAUUGGCUUGCUUCCAGCGGCAGGGUGGAGAGUUCGAUUCCUGGUGGGAACCUGCAGCCAAAAAUUUGGUAUGGAGCAAUCACUGUGGAGGAGGGUCUCUUGUGCGUAGAAGUGUACAGUCAAUGGGGGAACCUGUGAUCCAAUUGAGGCAUAACCCGCGAUUUACCCCCUCCAAAGUUCUAGGGGCAUGAGUUUUGGAGGUCCAGGAUUUAAUCUGAUGUAAGCUGGGAUACCUGGAUAUCAAAAAAAAAAAAAACACAAUUUCAAUUAAGUGAGAAACAACAUUAAAAUCCAUCCCACAACAGAAAUACCCUUUCACAUAGAACCAAAAGUAAUUCAUUAAAUGAAGGUUUUGAAACAGCCACGAGUAAUAAAAAUACUAUACACGUGUCAGGCUUGAAAGACUUAUAUGGUAAUCUUUUAAAAUAGAAAAACUAAAUAGAAGUAGGCAAAUAUUGUUAUUCAUAUUUGUCUGAAUCACUAAACAGAAAAAAAAAAAAAAAAAAAGAGUUACAGAUAAAUAAUAGAGAUGAACUUAAUCUGAAUAAGGUGAAAAUCAACAAAAAAAUAGAAAAGACAGGAAAAUACACUGAUACAAAUGCUACAAGUAUACAUAUUUACACAUAAAAGCUGAAGAAGUUGUUAGUCUUUAUUCAAACCUCAACUGCAAGCCCUUUCAAAACUCAAUGCUAAAAAAUCAAAGAAAUUGCUAAAAAGGAAAAGAAAACCAUUAUCUAGGGCAUAAAAUCUGGUGUCUUGUGGAAAUUUAAAAUAUUUAUGUAAAUGAUUGAGGCCAAAGCAAAUCAUUCAUCCAAAAGGUUGAAGUUGCCUGCCUCUAUGUCAGAGUCUAAAUGGCUGUCAAGAGGGAGUACCUUACUGGCCGCUUCAACAUCAAUAGCUUCUUUAUACCUGAAUUUUGUAGCCGAACUGACAUCCAGAUCAUCUUCAUUAACAAUAGGAGACAGAUUUAGCUCAUUCCCUUGGUGAAUUUAAGUAAAGGCCCGAGAUGAAAGCUUCAAACAUGAUAAAUGUUGCCUCAAGUUUGAGAAAGCUGACAAAAUUGAAGCAUCAGGUACAAUUUUUUUCUAUGUAACCCAUAACCACGGUCAUGGAAAAGCAAAAGGUUGAUAUAUUAGAAAAGAUUCACAGUGAUUUCAGAAACUCUAUAUUAUUGGCACCAGAAAAAAGAUUUUUUGGUCUAGUUGAAACUGAAGCAAUACUUGAGUACACCUUAUGAAACACAAAAUUAUAGUAAUGGUUUGAUUUCAGGAUCAAAUGAUUGGUGUAUUUUCUCGACCCCACAGAGAAAAUGGUAGUACA